AUUUGACCAAACGUUCAUAUGCAUCAUGUGCUUGCAUAUAGUCGAAAAAGAUCCCUCUGCAAAGUUGUUCAGGGUCAAAUGCUCUGUUUUCAUUUUCCAGUCGGCCGCCCGGUCCCUCAAGGUGAGAAACAAGCCGAUGAGUGAAGCAGCGGCCAGUCUACAUCCCACGGCCUGGCAGCCGUAGGUGAGCGGACACACAGUCAGCCAACAGCCAGUUAGCCGCCACAUGCACCGUCAGCCAGGCGCCAUCAGGUCGCCACCAAUCUGUCCGCCCAACGGGGAAACUGGCCAUGACACGGAAUUCACAAGGACGACCUGACGUCGAGGGCGAGGCGAUGACAAAAACCCCCCCCCGCAGUCGGCCCAGGGCCGAGGACCAUCUUCACUCCGGAACUUUCCUAUGUCGCAAGUACGGUCGCUCUGAAACCUACAGCAGUCUUUCAAAUGCAGUACAUUCUUUUCGAUUUCAUUCUUUUAACUGUCAAAUAGUACAACAAAUACUGGCUACCAGUAGGAUUUAUGAUAUACAGGAGAGAGGGAGACGGGUAUAAGAUGGUAGUCUGACUCCUUCGUGUACCAAAAAAAUAUCAAUCAAUCCUAAAGCAAUAAACAAACAGGCAAGAGAUGCUUAAUCUCAGCAGGUUGUGUUUUAUGGAAUCAUUUUUAAUAGAUUCAAGAUCCAAACACUUUACAAAAACGCAACCAGCGAGUUCACGUUUUGACGAGCUGAAUGUCAACGUUGCCAGCUGGAUCUCUUUUGUUCCACAUGAUGGUGGGACACAGCGCGCCGACCUUCAGCUCCCGUGUGCGCGAGUAACGUCACGGACAUGUACAAUGACAAGGCGGCUGCUCCGAGGAAGAUGUCCACAGGAAAUUCAAUCCCGAACCGACCGACCGUCUGCGACAUCUCUGAUAUAGCGGGCACUUAGGGGUUCUCAAAUCUGAUUUCACCUCUCCAGUUGGAACGAACGUCUCGGCAAUGACGACAGGAGGGGUCAAGUUGUUCGACUGGUUAAAGUCAAGAAGACGGAUGCCACAGACUGCAGCACCAGGUAAUGGCCUGGUGGAGUAUUUAAGAAGUAGCUGUAUUCAGGUUCUGCAUCUUAGCGGCAAAGCUUGAGUUGCGAUGUCUUCCCUGGUCACUAGAUGGGUUAUCAUUCAGAGUUCGCAUUCUUCAGACUUCAGUUUAACGCUGUGCUGAGUAAAGGUGGCACAGUGGGGAGCACUGUCGCCUCGCAAUGAGGAGAUUCUUGAUUGGCCCUGCGUCAUGCGCAGUGUCAGCUGGGAUUGGCUCCGGGGAAUGAGAAUAAGGUGUGAGGAGGAGGAGAGAACAAUCAGAGAGUGGUGCGGGGGAGAAUUACAACCGUUGUACGUAAUCACAGCACUAACAAGCUACUCACCCCGUGUGACCAUUUUUUUUUAUCGGCCGAUGUGACAAGAGGGAAGGACGGUAAUUGCUGUCCUAAGAACAAUGCAGAUUAAAAAAUUGAUGAGCCCGUCAACUCGGCUGACUGCGGACGAGUGUGUGUGUGUGUGUGUGUGUGUGUGUGUGUACUUUGUGUGUGUGUGGGUGUGUACUUUGUGUGUGUGUGGGUGUGUACUUUGUGUGCAGUACUUUGUGUGUUUGAGUGCUUAGAUGACAGUAAGUGGCUGCAGCUGGGUCGUACAGGGUCUCAAAGCUUGUUAAAAGACUAGCUGGGAAUAAUGGAGUGGGGCUCCUGGCUGUUCACUCUGUACACAGACACACACACACGCAUACACACACACGAUGUGUGAAUACUUAGUAUGCCAGUUUCUGUUAGAAAGCCAACUGACUUCUGCUCAGGUCAUUCCCAGGCUUCUUUUGACUGGUGUGUUAUUGUGACUGGUGUGUGUGUGUGUGUGUGUGUUAUUGUGACUGGUGUGUUAUUGUGACUGGUGUGUGUGUGUGUGUGUGUGUACGUACGAAGCGGACGUGAAGCGGUUGCUGCGUGACAGAAUUGUUUUUCUUGUUUCCUUAUUAUCGGCUUGUCACUGACAGUCAUCUCAUUGACCAGGAAAAUGAACUUGUGGUUCAUUGUUUUAAAAACAUUAUGGGAAUGUUAGCAGUUGAAAACGUUGAUGUGAUUUAUAGACGUUUUCACAGUUCAAUAAAGGAUCGUUCCUGGGGGGGCAUCUUAUGAGAAGAGAUGUGGCAUCAGUUUAUUUCUGCAGUCACUUCAUAUCUGUUUGGUCCUUUGUAUAGAGUAACACAAAUCUUCUCCCUGCAUCUGUAUCUCUCAAUAUUUCAGAAAAAUAUCUGUAGCUGAGUUUGGAUUGUACCGACAAUGGGCACGGCUCAUAUCCAAUUUCUCUAUUCACAGUUAGAUGUCGAUGACAUUUGUGAAUGUGAAUAGCAACAAAAUAAUCUAAAAUCUUAACCAUGAACCUGAAGUAGUCUAAUAAUGAAAUGUAUUUGAACCUCACUUUCAAAACAUGUAACAAAGUGAGUCUAAAAGCUGUGCGUCUGUUAAUGGACCAGGUGGAAAUGAACUCCUCUGGCACUUCUUCGCAGGUCAACCUCAGGUCAAAUUACUCCUGACUAAAGUAAAAAGUUUGACCAGAAGUGAAAUAUAUUUUAGUCAAUUUUAGAUGUUUUUUUUUUGUUCGUACAUACGUCUUGGCUGUCUCUAUAACACCGGGUCAAAUCUGUAUCUUUUCACAUGCUACUCAUUUGACUGAGUUUGCUAUUUUGUGAGUAAUUGUUAAGAUUCUAGUAAAGUCAAUUCCAUCCAUCAAUGAGUGAUUUUGAUCUUCUUUUAAGUUUUGCUCAAGACGUUUUGAUAAACGUACCAAUGGUGUCUCCAAAAAGAUUUGCACUGCCUCCUUCCUGAGAUAUGUAAUCUCACUGUUUAACAAAACUGCUCCUAUAUGUGUGGACAUACACAACUAGCUGGUGACCGAUGAUGUCCUCGGGUCCUGACCUAUUAAUCCCUCGCUGUGCAUCAGUGGUCGUGGCCUGUCGUGUCUGUCCCCGCUCCAUUUUCAUGCCGAACCAAUGCCAGAAUAAAAGUUGGCAGACGUGAAGUAUAAAAGUGGGGAAAUAUAUAUAUUUUUUUUUACACAGCAACUGAGUUCGACGAGCACGUGGGCAUGUGCUGGUCGUCCUGGAGAAUACAGGAAUCAGCCACUUUUGCACCGGCUUCCCUUUCCGAAUCUACGGCCAUCUUUACAUGCAGUCUAUAUGGGAUACUGUUGAAUGCAGUCGGUCCUGCACAAUCAUGCUUUUGAUAAUAAUAAUUUGCUGACACUGCUGAAUCCACUCUCUGACAUUCUUUUUCAACGCCGCGGUUGAUGUGGACGAAGCCUUCGUAAGACUUCUUCCAGAAUACCGUCGCCUGCGGCUCAGCACCAUGGACAGCUCCAGCACGAAGACGCAGGCGGACUGAGCGAUCGCUCAAAGAGACGUGCAGCUGCAUCGCCUCUGAGAUACAUUUUCGUCAUGUGACUGCAGGAAAGUCAUGCUGACUUUCUCUGUACACUGUACUUCACUCGCAAAAAUAAAUAAAUAAAUAUAUAUAUAUAUUCUUUCUGUGUCUGUCUUUCCUUCCAUAAAACUGAAAUGUUGUUAUCCCUUUAGUGACAGGGUCUAGUUGAGCGAUAUCAUCUGCCAGGGGACAGUCUGUCAAAGUCGGGACAGAAAGUUGGCAGGCGGCGCGCCGCAGAGCAAUCGCAGAUACCACGCAGGCGCGCUGCCAAGACAUAGAGAGGGGAGGGACGGAGGCAGACGAGCAAACUGCAGAGAAAGCAGAAGUGAAGGCGAGCGUUUGUGGGUCGGGGGCGUCGGGGGGAAAGAGGUGGGAGGGCAAACGAAGCGAGAGGACACAUUAGAGACAAAGAGGAGAAAAAACUUCAACAACGGCGGGUCAAGAAAGUGAGGUUUCCACCGAGUUUGAUUUUAUUUCUACUGGUCCUCCUACAUUAAAAGUUGUAAAACAGAUUGAAGAUACGUUUGACAGGUAUGACCUUUGGGAGUUAUGCAUUUUGUAAAAAAAAACAACACAAAUUUUUGUUAAUGCAGGAUUCUGACCUGGAUUUCCUUUGCAUUUCCCCCUAUGGGUUUAUUGAUUUAUGCAUAAGAGUGAUCUCUGAACGAGUGUGUGCGACUACAGGGUCAGUUUUACCACACAGUGCGUCUCACAGAUCAGAUACAGGAUGACAGGGACAUUCAGUGCACAUAAAAGCAAUAAUACAAGUCAUUUCGCAGUGAGAAGGACCCAGAUUCAACAUUUC
ensembl:lncRNA